CCCCACCAACGGCUGCAGCUUCACCCUAAAGUGGUCCGGAAAAAUAUAUAUGAAUACAUCCCAAUCACCAAAUAGGAUAAGCACAAUUCAUUUCUCGUUGUCUGACAAAGUGUUGACAUUUCAUCUGAAAGGAACUUUCACAAGUCACAGUAUGACGGGGCGGAUCCAGAGAGCGAUGAUGUAUCCUCUCUGUUCCCUGUGAUGUGAUGACUCAGGUUGUGGAGGAACAUGCUGCUCGACCCUCAUCUGCAGCUUCAGCCUUCAAGCUGUGAAAGUCACACCUGUUGGCGACUGUACGUGUGUGCAGAGCAAGAACACUCGUGCGCUUUGUGCAUCUGCUCGGUGAACGUGUGAAACUGUGUGUAUGUGUGUGUGUGUGUGUGUGUGUAACAGAGACAUCUGUCACAAUCUUGUGAUAAUAUAUGAGUUGAAAGGACGGUGAAAGAUUGAAUGAGAGGAAUCUACGCGGCUGUGGUUUGGUGCGCAUUGUAAAAAGUAAAAAAACAAGUUUAAAUAAAACACCAAAGUACGUUAUACUUUUUUUUCUACCGUUUGCAUUCAUCAUGGGAUUCUUUUUUAAAUUUCUGCAUAAAAAAAAUCGGUUCAUGCGUGUUCGACACAGAGCGUGAUUUAGUUAGAAAGUGUCUGAGAGUCAGUGAAUAAGCGAGUGAGAGAACAAAUGACUCUGGGUGAAUGAGUGAGUGUUUGUCCUUAACGGGAUCAUAAAACUCAACGACCCUCCGCACGAAUAUCGAGGCAAACAAGGAGCCUUUUCGCACGAGGACGGCUCGAUAAUUGAUUCAUUCGAGUCCUUUCGGUAUCAGGGAGACGAGAUGCUCAUCCCUGCGACCGCCUCGCUCUUGACCCCCCCGCCUGUGAACAUGUCACCUCCAUCUCUGCACCCACCUCCGAUGCAGACACCACCCUGUCCCAUUAUGGCGUUAUCAUGACAAAUGCAACAAACGCCGCCGCUUGAAACAAGAGAGUGUGUGGGACACCGUAAGGACCCACGAGAAAGAAAAUUUAAACAAACUUUGAGUGUUAGUUUUCUGGGAGCUCGUGCAUGAAGAUGUGUGCUAUUUUUCGCCCAGAGAAAGUUUCCCACUGCUGUUUUUCUUUUUCUAACCUUGAGAAAACACAAAAGCUUCGAGGAAAGCGGCGUGUGCUUAGCGACAAAUCCAGAGCGAAUGAGAUGCAGAAGCAGUCACAGUUCUGCUCUAUUCAAACCAAAAAGAACCAGUAUACUAAACAUUAAAACCAUUCAGCUGCUUGAUAAUGCAAACAACACUUAUCAGGAAGUGAGGAUUUAUGCUGCUGUGUUAUUUAAUGAAUCAAUGUGCAUACACUGGGUCUUAUGAAUCCACUUAAUAAUUACAGAAAUAUAUUGUUUUAUGUAUAUGUGGAACCUUUCAUUGCUUAAUUUUAUUCAACUGUUAUAUAGUUGUUAUAUAUUCGGAUAAUCACAUUGAGACUUUAAACCUAUUUCACAGUUGUAAAAGAUAAAAACACAUGAACAAAAAAGAACUAAAUACUGUAGCAAGUUAUAAAUAGCAUCACAUUAUUUUCAUUCCAAGUUUGGGAAAGUA
ensembl:lncRNA